AAAUAAAGUCAAACACGUUUGAUAUAUUCAACCACCUAUAAAUAUUUAAGAAUAUUAUUUUAACUUGAUGAUAUAAUUUUGAGUACAAGGGCAUUUAUUCAAUUAAAUAGGAUAAAAGACAUUUUAGUGGGCGGAAAACUUACAAUGAUAAAGAUUACCACAGAACUACCUAAUGGACGUAAGGAAGAAUACAUAUUCGCGGACGGAAUAAAUUACAGUUCAAAGGCACUGAACUUCUUACCAAAGAAAGAUUUAGAAGCUCACAUAAAUGACGUAAAACAGUUACAAGUUCGUGAUAAUGACAUAUAUUUGGCUACAUUUAUGAAAAGUGGUAAGUGUUGCAAAUCAUAGUCUGAACAGGUGUAGCAAAACACAUUUUACUCGUUCUCCAGGAUACGUGAUUUUUUCCAUAACAGGAGGUAUAUAUUGCCACAAAUAAUAGUGUUGACUGUAUUUAGUAUCAUAUUUGACAAUAAACCACGAAAUAAUUAUAAAUGUAUGUUGUUGGCACGUGUGAGAUACGUGAUCCGAUGUAAAAUAUCUAUAUAUGUACAUGUAUA